AGCGAACGCUGGCGGCAGGCCUAACACAUGCAAGUCGAACGAACCUUUCGGGGUUAGUGGCGGACGGGUGAGUAACACGUGGGAACGUGCCUUUAGGUUCGGAAUAACUCAGGGAAACUUGUGCUAAUACCGAAUGUGCCCUUCGGGGGAAAGAUUAAUCGCCUUUAGAGCGGCCCGCGUCUGAUUAGCUAGUUGGUUGAGGUAAUGGCUCACCAAGGCGACGAUCAGUAGCUGGUCUGAGAGGAUGAUCAGCCACAUUGGGACUGAGACACGGCCCAAACUCCUACGGGAGGGAGGAGUGGGGGAUCUUGCGCAAGGGGCGAAAGCCUGACGCAGCCAUGCCGCGUGAAUGAUGAAGGUCUUAGGAUUGUAAAAUUCUUUCACCGGGGACGAUAAUGACGGUACCCGGAGAAGAAGCCCCGGCUAACUUCGUG
rnacentral:rRNA from 1 species